AUUCCGGUUGAUCCUGCCGGAGGCCAUUGCUAUCGGAGUCCGAUUUAGCCAUGCUAGUUGCGCGAGUUCACACUCGCAGCAUAUAGCUCAGUAACACGUGGUCAAGCUACCCUGCAGAGACGAAUAACCUCGGGAAACUGAGGCUAAUACGUCAUACUGGUCCCACGCUGGAAUGCCGGGACCCACAAACGCUCCGGCGCUGCAG
rnacentral:rRNA from 1 species